rnacentral:misc_RNA from 1 species
AAGCAUCGUGUGCCGCUGGCUUUAACGUGAGUUGUGGUUGACACAUGAAGAGCUUGUUGAAGAGGAACAUUGAAAAACAUGCCAGGGUGUUGCGUGGAUGGAUGUACAAAUCGUAGCGAAAAAGGUUUUCGCUUAUUUCGUUUACCGACAGGUACUAGGAAUAACGAUAGACGCAAUGAAUGGUUGCAAUUAAUUGGCAAAGACACAUUGCCAGCAAGAGCUGUAAUUUGUGAGUUUUUAAUAUAGAAGAAAAUCAUACAACAAGCACUGCAACAAACUGUCCUGAAGUAGCCAAUACAGAAGUGGCCCAUAUAAAAGUUUUCCAUACUGCAUCAAAUAAGGACAAAGAGCACAUAAAACAUUUACAGAUAGCAUUGAGGAAGAAAAUGCGAGAAUGCAGUCUGCUUAAAUGUAAAUUAAAAGAGAAAAAAAAACGAGAAUGUUUUGCAAAAAUCUUUACAAAAAAUCAAACACAUUAUAUUGAAAAUAACACGCAAAGAGGAUCAUUGUUGUCAAUUGUGGUCUGCCAAGACUAUUAAUAAUGCCUUAAAAUUGUAUGUGGCCUGUGGACAAAAAAGUUAUGAAGAAUUACGCCGUCAAAACUUACCUUAUCCGAGUAUUCGGACCUUGCAACAUCGUAUACAAGGCUUACAAUUUAAACCGGGAAUAUUAGAAGAUAUUUUCCGUAUGUUAUAAAUGAAAGUACAAACAUUUGCUGAUGCAGAGAAACAUGCUGUAUUGAUUAUAGACGAAAUGUCUAUAAAGCCUGGCUUACAAUAUGACAAUUCCAUUGUUGCAGUAGUUGGUCGACCCACUAUGAAACUUUCGGGUGGAUUUGACAGCUCUCAUCAAAAAGCAACGCAUGCCCUUGUGUUUAUGUUGUACGGCAUUUCUACUAAAUGGAAGCAGACAAUAGGGUACGAAUUUACAGGUAAUUCGUUUUGCUCACAACAGAUUGUUCAAAUAAUGUUAGCGAUAAUUCAAAAAGCGAAUGAUAUCGGACUGAAAAUAAAAGUAAUAAUUUCUGAUAUGGGAGCUCAGAAUAGGAGUUGAUGGAAAAUCAUGAAUAUUACGGUUGGCAAAUAUUGUAAAAUCAAUAAUUAUAUUCCACAUCCAUGCGAUAAUGACGAGAAAUUAUUUGUUAUGCCCGAUUCAGUUCAUGUGUUCAAAAACGUCGCGUGUUCGUUAACAGCGGGCAACAAAUUUUAUUUGGACGAAACGCUUGUUAGAAAAUAUGACUUGCCGCACAAUGAAAUAUCGAUUGCACCCAUUCGCGAAGUAUAUAACUUAGACAAAAACGAUACAUUACGACUGUGUCCAUGUCUGACAGAACGCGCUAUUAAUCCAUCACAUUUUGAGAAAAUGCAUGUUAAUUUAAGUAUGCAAAUAUUAAAUAAUACAAUUGCUGCCGCUAUAUCAUAUCAUGUAGCCAACGGGCGUAUUGCUGAAAUUCAUGAAACCACCGCCUGGUUUAUCAAAACUAUACAUAAAUGGUUCAAACUUAUGACCAGCAGGUAUCAGAAGCUCGCAUUGUCCCGUCAUAAUGAAAAUAUUUACAGAGAUACUAUCACAUUCCUACAAGAUUUUAUAGUUAUUAUUAAAGGAAUUGUAGUUGGAGAUGGAAAAUGGAAACCAUUUCAAAGUGGCUUAAUACUUUGCACACAAACCACAUUAGAUUUGCAAAUAGAAUAUUUAGAAAAACAAAAUUAAAAAUUUUUGUUAUUAGGUAGAUUUACACAAGAUGCUUUAGAAAAUCUAUUUUCCGUUAUCUGAGGAAGAAAAUCAGUACCAGAUGCGCGCGAAUUUAAAUACGUUUUAAGACUUGUUUGUUUAUCACAAUUUCAAAGUAAUGUUAAUCGCUCUAAUUACUCGACUGUUGACUGUGAUUAUGUCAUUAAAUAUUGUGACGAAAUAAAAAAUCAAGACUUAAAAAAUACUUCUGAAGAAGUGCAAUGCGAGCAAGCUAUUGAAAAUGAUUUAUGGGAUGAGACAAUGUUAGAAUUACUUGGAGAUGAGACCGAGUUAAGUGAUAUAACGCAAACAUCAUUGUAUCAUUUAACAGGGGCGUUAUUAUCAAAGAUUAAAAAAUACUUCAAACAUUGUGAUCAUUGUUAUAAUCCUUUAGUAAUGGAUUGCAAGAGCGAUUCAAAUAAUAAUUUAAGCAUUUUUACUCAAUUGCGGCAAUAUAAGGAAAAUAUAUUAACUUUUCCAGGCAGCAAAAUGUAUGAUAUUAUACAUAAAUGCGAAUUAUUAUAUAGAAAAAACGAAGCGAACCUAUUGUCCAACAAAUUACAACCAAUAAACUUUGUAAAUUUAUUUUUA